ACGACAAUGAUGGUGAUGAGCGAAGAUGGAAAGACCGGCGAUGACGACAGCGAUGGAGGAAGAAGAUGAAGGCUCUAUCUUUUCUAAGGAAAGACGAAAGCUAAUUGUCGAUAGGAGAAGAUAAGACCUCACGUCAGAAGACAAUGAUAGCCGGUAGAUGGAAAGUCCGACACAGACCAUGGAGGUCAGUGAUGAACAGAGAUGAAUGGAGGUCGGUGACUUUGAACGGUGGUGGUGUGGGUGAGAGGAGGUGAAUGGAGGUCGGUG
rnacentral:lncRNA from 1 species